rnacentral:rRNA from 1 species
AUUGAACGCUGGCGGCAGGCCUAACACAUGCAAGUCGAACGAGUGGCGGACGGGUGAGUAAUGUCUGGGAAACUGCCUGACGGAGGGGGAUAACUACUGGAAACGGUAGCUAAUACCGCAUACCAUCAGAUGUGCCCAGAUGGGAUUACCUAGUUGGUGGGGUAACGGCUUACAAAGGCGACGCUCCCUAGCGGGUCUGAGAGGAUGACCGGCCACACUGGAACUGAGACACGGGCCAGACUCCCACGGUAGGCAGCAGUGGGGAAUAUUGCACAAUGGGCGAAAGCCUGAUGCAGCCAUGCCGCGUGUGUGAAGAAGGCCUUCGGGUUGUAAAGUACUGUCAGCGGGGAGGCGUUACCCGCAGAAGAAGCACCGGCUAACUCCGUGCCAGCAGCCGCGGUAAUAC